GAGUUUGAUCCUGGCUCAGAUUGAACGCUGGCGGCAUGCCUUACACAUGCAAGUCGAACGGCAGCAUGAUCUAGCUUGCUAAAUUGAUGGCGAGUGGCGAACGGGUGAGUAAUACAUCGGAACGUGCCCUGUAGUGGGGGAUAACUAGUCGAAAGAUUAGCUAAUACCGCAUACGACCUGAGGGUGAAAGUGGGGGACCGCAAGGCCUCAUGCUAUAGGAGCGGCCGAUGUCUGAUUAGCUAGUUGGUGGGGUAAAGGCCCACCAAGGCGACGAUCAGUAGCUGGUCUGAGAGGACGAUCAGCCACACUGGGACUGAGACACGGCCCAGACUCCUACGGGAGGCAGCAGUGGGGAAUUUUAGACAAUGGGCGAAAGCCUGAUCCAGCAAUGCCGCGUGUGUGAAGAAGGCCUUCGGUUGUAAGACGUACUUUGUUCCGGUAA
rnacentral:rRNA from 1 species